GACGAACGCUGGCGGCGUGCUUAACACAUGCAAGUCGAACGGAAAGGCCCUGCUUGCAGGGUGCUCGAGUGGCGAACGGGUGAGUAACACGUGGUUGAUCUGCCCCUUACUUUGGGAUAAGCCUGGGAAACUGGGUCUAAUACUGGAUAGGACCAUGCUGUAGGUGGUGUGGUGGAAAGAUUAGUUUCGGUAAGGGAUGAGCUCGCGGCCUAUCAGCUUGUUGGUGGGGUAAUGGCCUACCAAGGCGUCGACGGGUAGCCGGCCUGAGAGGGUGGACGGCCACAUUGGGACUGAGACACGGCCCAGACUCCUACGGGAGGCAGCAGUGGGGAAUAUUGCACAAUGGGAGCAAGCCGGAUGCAGCGACGCCGCGUGGGGGAUGACGGCCUUCGGGUUGUAAACUCCUUUCAGCCAUGACGAAGCCCUUGUGGUGACGGUAGUGGUAGAAGAAGCACCGGCUAACUACGUG
rnacentral:rRNA from 1 species